rnacentral:lncRNA from 1 species
AAGGUCUGGUUGGGGUGACUAUUUCUCCACAGGCGUGAAUAAAACCAGAUAGCAAAUAUUUUAAAGAGGCAUGGUCUCUUUCUUAAAAAAUCAUAUCAUUAUUAUUUGGCAUCCUACAAAAUUGUUUAUUAGCAGGGUUUAAACAAUAUUCUUGGUGUUUCCAGGUCCAAUGCUAUCCAAGAGUGGCCUUAUGGUAAGCAUCCUGAACUGAAAAACAGGCGGAUUGUGCUCCUUACUUAGAUCUGCUGUUGCGCCACAAACCUUGUGAAACCUCUCAGUCCUUGAACUGCCUCUUCCUGUCUCUUGUCCACUGUAUGCAGAGUAGCACUGAGAACAUCACGUCUUCUUGGAUCAUACAAUAGUAUUUGAGGCAAGGACAUAUGGCUA